rnacentral:rRNA from 1 species
CAGCCGCCGCGGUAAUACGUAGGAUCCGAGCGUUGUCCGGAAUUACUGGGUGUAAAGGGCGUGUAGGUGGGUUCCUAAGUCGAUGGUGAAAUCCUGCAGCUUAACUGCAGAACUGCCUUCGAUACUGGGGAUCUUGAGUGCGGCAGAGGGAGAUGGAAUUCAUGGUGUAACGGUGAAAUGUGUAGAUAUCAUGAAGAACACCGGUAGCGAAGGCGGUCUCCUGGUCCGCAACUGACACUGAGGCGCGAAAGCGUGGGGAGCAAACAGGAUUAGAUACCCUGGUAGUCCACGCCUUAAACGAUGGGUACUAGGUGCUGGGUCGCAAGGUUCAGUGCCAAAGCUAACGCAUUAAGUACCCCACCUGGGGAGUACGAUCGCAAGGUUGAAACUUAAAGGAAUUGACGG